rnacentral:lncRNA from 1 species
AGAAAUAUUUCACCUCCUCAGUUAAAUAUAUUCCUAGGUAUUUUAUUUUUUUGUAGCUACUGUAAAUGUGAUUGCCUUCUUAAUUUGGUUGUCAGCAUGAUCAUAAUUGGUAUAUAGAAAUACUAGUGAUUUGUGCACAUUGAUUUUGUAUCCUGAAACCUUACUGAUAUGGUUUGGCUGUGUCCCCACCUAAAUCACAUCUUGAAUUGUAGUUCCCAUAAUCCCCACGCAUUGUGAGAGGGACUUGGUGGGAGGUAAUUGAAUCAUGGGUGUGGUUACCCCCAUGCUGCUGUUCUUGUGAUAGUGAGUGAGUUCUCAUGAGAUCUGAUGGUUUUAUCAGGGGCUUUUCCCCCUUGUGCUUGGCACUUCUCCUUCCUGCCAUCAUGUGAAGAAGGUUGUGUUUGCCUCCCCUUCUGCCAUGAAUGUAAGUUUCCUGAGGCCUCCACAGCCAUACCGAACUGUGAGUCAAUUAAACCUCUUCCCUUUAUAAAUUACCGAAUCUUGGGUAGUCCUUUUUUUUUUUUUUUUUGAGAGGGAAUCUUGCUCUGUCGCCCAGGCCGGAGUGCAGUGGCGUGGUCUCAGCUCACUGCAAGCUCCGCCUCCCAGGUUCAAGCCAAUCUCCUCAGCCUCCGGAGUAGCUGGAACUACAGGCGCCCGCCACCACGCCCAGCUGAUUUUUUUGUAUUUUUCAGUAGAGACGGGGUUUCACCGUGUCAGCCAGGAUGGUUUCGAUCUCCUGACCUCGUGAUCCACCCGCCUCGGCCUCCCAAAGUGCUGGGAUUACAGGCGUGAGCCACCGCGCCCAGCCAGGUAGUCCUUUAUAGUAGCAUGAGAAUGGACCAAUAUACUUACUGAAUUCAUUUACCAAGUGUAAGAGAUAUUGGUGGAGUCUUGUGGAUGUUCUAGAUAUAAGAUCAUAUCAUCAGUGAACAGAAAUAAUUUGACUUCUUUUCCAAAAAAUGUCUUCUUUUUUUUUUUUUUUUUUUUUUUUUGCCUUAUGUCUCUGGCCAAGGCUUCCAGUAUUAUGAUAUAUAAGAGAGGUAAAAGUGUGCAUACUUGUCUUCUUCCAGUUCUUAGGGGGAAUGCUUUCAACUUCUCCCCAUUUAGUAUAAUAUUGGUUGUAGGUUUGUCAUACACUGCCUUUAUUAUUUUGAGGUAUACUCCUUCUGUGUCUAGUUUGUCAAGUGUUUUUAUUAUGAAGGGAUUUUGAAUUUUAUCAAAUGCUUUUUUUUGCAUCUAUUGAGGUAAUCAUCUGGUUUUCAUCCUUAAUUCUGUUUAUGUGAUGAAUCACAUUUAUUGAUUAUGUGUGUUGAACUGUCUUUGUACCCCUGGAAUAAAACUCGCUUCAUCAUGGUGAAAAGAAAAAAAAAAUUAAAAAGAAUGAGUUAGAGAUAACUUCCUCCUCCUUGAUUUUUUAGAACAGUUUCUGGAGGAUGGGUACCAGUUCUUCUUUGUACAUUUGGUAGAAUUCGCCUGUGAAUCCAUUCAGUCCUGGUCUUUUUUUAUUGUUGCUGGGAGGGUUUUU